CCUGGCGGCGAGCGGCGAACGGGUGAGUAAUACAUCGGAACGUACCCUGUCGUGGGGGAUAACUAACCGAAAGGUUAGCUAAUACCGCAUACGACCUGAGGGUGAAAGCGGGGGAUCGCAAGACCUCGCGCGAUAGGAGCGGCCGAUGUCAGAUUAGCUAGUUGGUGAGGUAAAGGCUCACCAAGGCGACGAUCUGUAGCGGGUCUGAGAGGACGGCCCGCCACACUGGAACUGAGACACGGUCCAGACUCCUACGGGAGGCAGCAGUGGGGAAUUUUGGACAAUGGGCGCAAGCCUGAUCCAGCCAUUCCGCGUGAGUGAAGAAGGCCUUCGGGUUGUAAAGCUCUUUCGGCAGGAACGAAGCGCUCUGGGCUAAUACCCCGGGGUAAUGACGGUACCUGAAGAAGAAGCACCGGCUAACUACGUGCCAGCAGCCGCGGUAAUACGUAGGGUGCGAGCGUUAAUCGGAAUUACUGGGCGUAAAGCGUGCGCAGGCGGUUUUGUAAGACAGAUGUGAAAUCCCCGGG
rnacentral:rRNA from 1 species